rnacentral:rRNA from 1 species
GCUUGGCUCGAAGACAUCUGAAUAAACCUCUCGGUCCACGUCAAUGGACAGUGCCAGGAUGCGGAGUUUGACUGGGGCGGUACAUCUCCAAACGAUAACGGAGGUGUCCAAAGGUCAGCUCAGAGUGGACAGAAACCACCCGUUGAGCAUAAGGACAAAAGCUGGUUUGAUCCUAACGUUCAGUACACGCCGGGACAGCGAAAGCUUGGCCUUACGAUCCUUUUGGUAUAACGAGUUUUUAGCAAGAGGUGUCAGAAAAGU